AUGGGGUCGCUAAGAGUCGGACACGUUUGCAGCCAAACUGUGAUCCCAAUGGCUGCAAAUAGUAGGCUCCUUGGUAGUGUAUGCAACCUGUUGCCUGUACAGGCUGCCCUAAGGGACCUUGGAGACAACU
ensembl:snoRNA SNORA70 Small nucleolar RNA SNORA70